rnacentral:misc_RNA from 1 species
ACGCUCACGCGCAGUCUUAUUCUCUCUCCCUCUCUCUCUAUAGCCCACGCACCGUACAUACGUGUGUGCGCGUGCGCCUCUGUCUCUUGGUAGUUGGCUCCUAUUCGUGGUUGCACAUCUACCACCACCACCACCAUCCCUGUGCUCUUCUUCACCGAUUUCUUCUGUCGUCCUCCCAUCGCGGCCACCGCCGCCUCCUGCUUUCACGCUCUGGUCCACACGCCUGUCGCUACGCCAGUCUCGAACCCGAUCACUUUAUUGGUGUUGCCCCCCCCUCACACACACACACACACACUCCAGCCUCCGUCACCCCUCCUUUCCGUAUUCCACCCUCAGGUCUCCUACCGCAGCCGCGGCACUCUUGCUCAGCAUGGACGUCAGGCGCACCCCCACCCCCACUACUCUCACCCAGUACAUCAUCAAGAGCCAACCGCCGCACAGUCGCGGCGAGUUCACGCUCUUGAUGAUGGCGAUUCAGACUUCGGUCAAGGUGAUUGAGAAGAACAUCCGGCGUGCCGGCAUGAAGGGUAUGUUGGGCUACAUUGCUGGGCAGUCGGCGAACGCGACUGGCGACCAUCAGGCGAAGCUGGAUGUGAUCUCGAACAUGGCGUUCAAGGCGUAUCUGCUGAGCUCCACCAGCGUGUGCGUGCUCGGCAGCGAGGAGGAGGAGCAGAUGAUCAUCGCCGAGAGCGGCCGCCGUGGCGACUACCUUGUCUUCUUCGACCCUCUUGACGGCAGCAGCAACAUUGAUGCCAACGUCUCCGUAGGCUCUAUCUGGGGUGUGUGGCGGCUGCCCAAGGACGCUAACAUAAACAGCGUCGAAGACGCUAACGCCGUGAUCCGCAUGCUUAAGGGAACAGAUAUGGUUUCUGCCGGGUACGCCGUGUACGGCAGUGCCACGAACCUCGUGCUGACGAGCGGACACGGUGUGGACGGCUUCACACUGGACCCCAACAUCGGCGAGUUCAUCCUGACGCACCCGCACAUCAGCAUCCCGAAGAAGCGCAGCAUCUACAGUGUCAACGAAGGCAAUUACGGCAAGUGGGAACCGUGGUUUAAGGAGUACAUCAACUACCUCAAGAUGAACAAGACAACCCGUUACAGUGCGCGCUACAUCGGCUCCAUGGUCGGCGACAUCCACCGCACGCUCCUCUACGGCGGUAUAUUCUGCUACCCCAAGGACGCAAACCAGGUGGAGGGAAAGCUGCGGUUUCUGUACGAGGCCGCACCGAUGGCGAUGAUCGUGGAGCAGGCAGGCGGGAAGGCGGUGGGCAGCAACGGCCGUAUCCUGGAGCAGUCCAUCACUCGUCUUCAUCAGCGCACGCCAGUCUACCUCGGCAGCCGCCAGGAGGUGGACCUGUGCAUGGCCUUCCGCGACCGCAACGUGAAGACGGAGACUCUAGCGCCGACUUCCAGCAAGCUCUAAAAAAAAAAUGAAAACGUUUCCGUGAAUGACACCGGCAGCCAGGGUGCGUGCCUGCGUGCAAACGUAUCUUCGCCCCGCGCGCACCAUUCGCGGAAAGCAGCCGCAAGCACAUAUCCACACGCACGCGCUGCGGCGCAUCGUGCUUAGCGCCAACGCUAAGCAUCCGCCGUCACCACCACGCCUCCCCCGAAAGAGGAAAGGAAGAGCGCGCACGAACAUCAAAACAACUGCACCUUCCGUUUUAGCUGGCGGAUGUGUGCCGCUUCACUCACCCGAGUGCGUUUGGGUCGCUCCGUCUCCCUCCCGGCGUGCGGCAUCCGCGAGCGUGCGACUUCAUCCCAUGCACCAGGCGUUACUCGUGUGUCCCGGUGGAGGUGCACCAUCAAGCAUGAGGACGGCAGAACGCAGAGAGAGGUGGCGAAGAGGGAAGGCUAUAAAGCCGGGAGGUUGUACAUGGCGAAAGAUCAACGGGGGCAAGAGGUGGUGCUUCCGGAGCGAGGGAGCUACUCGCGCAUUGGGUGAGCGUGACGGUGAUGGUGCUGGAUGAAGGAUCGAGGAGGGUGACAGUGGUGCGUGCAUCCAAUUCUAAAACGGCGCCUCACUGCCCUCGGCGUCGCCCCCUACUCCCGCUGCCGCCUCGGCGUCUGCCGUGGUGCCGCCCAUGCACCUGGUCGGCACCUAUAAAGGCAGAAAAGAGGACAGCAGUCCAAUGAAAAGAGAACCGGAGAAACGUUGGCAGGCAGUGGGCGUUGUGAGAGCACCGCAUUCGAGGUAGGCGGCGAAGUCGGAGAAUGCGCGGAGGCGAGGGUGGCGAGCCGUGUUGCACCUUUGUUGGUCCUCCCCACCCCUCCCCUCUACACCUCCCUCGCGCCGACACACACUCGAAGACGCGACAAGACCCGUAAAUCCAAGCGCCGGCGUGUCUGUCGUGUAGCUGGCGGUGUGGCGUGUGCCUCUCCCUCUUUUCAGCGUCCCUUUCGGUUUCGGUUCGUUAAACAGUUUACGCCAUCAUCUCUUCGACUGGCUCCCUUGUGCGGUCUUGGCAAUACUACCCGCGGACCCGCGCAGCCCACGUCCUUUCGCUUGCAUCCUCCUCCCCCACCCCACCCCCGCGCCCGUGGGUGCUGCCGGGUGUGUAGAGGGGCCCCUUUUGCUGUUGUGUCGUUCACGUUUUAUGGCCUGCGUGCGAUCCCCCCUCCUCCUGCCUCUCGUUGUGUGGGGGGGGGGCAAUGAAGCGAGAACGGCUGUGAGCAUCGCUGCAGCGCUGUGCACACACUCACCCAUCGACACCAGGAAGGCGAAGAACACGUCCGAGCCAGAGAGAGGCGGAGAGAAGGAGCAGCUAAAGCAGGCUGUGGCACCGCUCAAGCACUUGCCCUUCUGUAUUGGCUGUCGCUGCGGACAUGGCGGGUUGCCCUUGCGUAUUCGUCUCUUGCACAUCGCUCACGCACGCGUGCGUGUGUGCUUGUAGCCUUGCUGCUGUGCUCUUCCUCCUGGUGACACUCUUAUUUUUAGUACAAGACGCCUGUUGACCAACAUUUCCUCGCCUUUGAUGACUCG